AGGAGGAUUGAGAAAGUUAAGCAGCUGCAUUUGUUCUGCAUUAACUGGUUAUAACCUCCUAGAGAAAAAAACAAGUGCUUAAGUGCUUUUUAAUUUUCUGUAUGAAGUAGUCAUUGCAAUGCUUGUGUACAUUUC
ensembl:snoRNA small nucleolar RNA, H/ACA box 47